AACGAACGCUGGCGGCAUGCCUAACACAUGCAAGUCGAACGAGACCUUCGGGUCUAGUGGCGCACGGGUGCGUAACGCGUGGGAACCUGCCCUUAGGUUCGGAAUAACUCCCCGAAAGGGGUGCUAAUACCGGAUAAUGUCUUCGGACCAAAGAUUUAUCGCCUUUGGAUGGGCCCGCGUUGGAUUAGCUAGUUGGUAGGGUAAAAGCCUACCAAGGCGACGAUCCAUAGCUGGUCUGAGAGGAUGAUCAGCCACACUGGGACUGAGACACGGCCCAGACUCCGACGGGAGGCAGCAGUGGGGAAUAUUGGACAAGGGGCGAAAGCCUGAUCCAGCAAUGCCGCGUGAGUGAUGAAGGCCUUAGGGUUGUAAAGCUCUUUUACCCGGGAUGAUAAUGACAGUACCGGGAGAAUAAGCUCCGGCUAACUGCG
rnacentral:rRNA from 1 species